UGAUCCUGGCUCAGGAUGAACGCUUGCGGCAGGCUUAACACAUGCAAGUCGAGGGGCAGCAUGUCCAGCAAUGGAUGAUGGCGACCGGCGGAAGGGUGCGUAACGCGUGAGCAACAUGCCCUAUACAGGGAGAUACACCAGGGAAACUUGGUCUAAUAUCCCAUAGCAUUCAUUGAAGGCAUCUUUAAUGAAUUAAAGCUUCGGUGGUAUAGGAUUGGCUCGCGUGACAUUAGCCAGAUGGUGAGGUAACGGCUCACCAUAGCAAUGAUGUCUAGGGGUUUUGAGAGGAAGGCCCCCCACACUGGGACUGAGACACGGCCCAGACUCCUACGGGAGGCAGCAGUGAGGAAUAUUGGACAAUGGAUGGAAAUCUGAUCCAGCCAUGCCGCGUGCAGGAAGACGGCCUUAUGGGUUGUAAACUGCUUUUAUACGGGAGCAAUAAGGGUUACGAGUAAUCCGAUGAGAGUACUGUAUGAAUAAGGAUCGGCUAACUCCGUGCCAGCAGCCGCGGUAAUACGGAGGAUCCGAGCGUUAUCCGGAAUUAUUGGGUUUAAAGGGUGCGUAGGCGGCCAUUUAAGUCAGCGGUGAAAUUUUGCAGCUUAACUGUAACAGUGCCGUUGAUACUGUUUGGCUAGGAUUUGGUUGUAGUGUGCGGAAUGUGUGGUGUAGCGGUGAAAUGCUUAGAUAUCACACAGAACACCGAUUGCGAAGGCAGCACACUAAGUCAUUAUUGACGCUGAGGCACGAAAGUGUGGGGAUCAAACAGGAUUAGAUACCCUGGUAGUCCACACUGUAAACGAUGAUAACUCGCUGUCGGCGAUACACAGUCGGUGGCCAAGCGAAAGCAUUAAGUUAUCCACCUGGGGAGUACGACCGCAAGGUUGAAACUCAAAGGAAUUGACGGGGGCCCGCACAAGCGGAGGAACAUGUGGUUUAAUUCGAUGAUACGCGAGAAACCUUACCAGGGCUUGACAUGCGCCGGCAUCGCGUCGAAAGGCGCGCGCCCCUCGGGGCCGGCGCACAGGUGCUGCAUGGCUGUCGUCAGCUCGUGCUGUGAAGUGUUGGGUUAAGUCCCGCAACGAGCGCAACCCCUGCCGUCUGUUGCCACCACCUUGGGUGGGCACUCAGGCGGGACCGCCGGUGACAAACCGGAGGAAGGUGGGGACGACGUCAAGUCAUCAUGGUCCUUAUGUCCUGGGCUACACACGUGCUACAAUGGCCGGUACAGAGCGCAGCGAGGCCGCGAGGCCGAGCGAAUCGCCCAAAGCCGGUCCCAGUACGGAUUGGAGUCUGCAACUCGACUCCAUGAAGUUGGAAUCGCUAGUAAUCACGCAUCAGCAUGGCGUGGUGAAUUCGUUCCCGGGCCUUGUACUAAGCGCCCGUCAAG
rnacentral:rRNA from 1 species